rnacentral:rRNA from 1 species
AGGACGAACGCUGGCGGCGUGCUUAACACAUGCAAGUCGAGCGGAAAGGCCCUUCGGGGUACUCGAGCGGCGAACGGGUGAGUAACACGUGGGCAACCUGCCCUUAGCUCUGGGAUAGCUCCGGGAAACCGGAAUUAAUACCGGAUAUGACCUAGGCCGACAUCGGCCGUGGUGGAAAGUUUUUCGGCUAGGGAUGGACUCGCGGCCUAUCAGCUAGUUGGUGGGGUAAUGGCCUACCAAGGCGACGACGGGUAGCCGGCCUGAGAGGGCGACCGGCCACACUGGGACUGAGACACGGCCCAGACUCCUACGGGAGGCAGCAGUGGGGAUCUUGCGCAAUGGGCGAAAGCCUGACGCAGCGACGCCGCGUGGGGGAUGAAGGCCUUCGGGUUGUAACCCCGUUUCAGCAGGGACGAAGCGAAAGUGACGGUACCUGCAGAAGAAGCGCCGGCUAACUACGUGCCAGCAGCCGC